GUGGAGGCAGCACUUGACGGAGGUAACAAGGGUGGAUGUGAACUGCAGGGACUAACAGUGAAGAGUUAAAAAACAAGUCAAACCAGUCAGACUCUUUGGUUUCACUGCCAAAGAAAAGCUCCUCAAUUACCCGUUAAUGGCCGGUGAUUAUCCAUUGUUUCCCUGAUGCUGGCCGCUUGCCAAGAAGACACCAGGACAGACCCUCCAAGGUAAAGAGAAUAGGAGUGACAUCAGAGCCACUAUGCAGAUGAGAAAUGCAUUGCGCCCCGAAUUUUUACAGUUUUUACAAGAAAAACCCCUAAAAUCACGAGCCAACAAGUGACUUAAGUGACGUCUAAGGAUGGGAGCGUAGUCCCGUACCUGCUUAGACCCUUUUUGCUUCUCACCCUAACCUGAAAAGAUACUGAUUAAAGAGACACCCCGGGGUGUUAAACAAACAAGCCAGGAAUCUGCUAAUCUCCCGUGAGGACAGAAUCCCCAGCUCUGCCUGCAGACCAGCGGACAAAGCUGCAUCAUCCUCCUCCUCCGUGCCAUGCCUGGGAGCAGCGGUGGCGUGGGCGCAACCCGUCGAUUUCUCCCCACCUGAGCUGAUUCUUCUUAAUAAAGGCAUUAAAAAGGAGAAAGAUCUCCUGCCCAUUUAUUUCAGAUGUGAAAGGGCUAGAAAUGUUCAUUGCUACUAAAUGUUAUGAAUAAAAAGUUAUCUAUUUUUUUUAAGGUUGCAGAGUUAAAACAAGUUGGACCAGUGCUGUUAAGUUACCUUCAUUGUUAAGAGUUCUUCUUCAAUUACCUGUUAAUGGUUGGUGAUUAACCAUUGUCCCCCUGAUGCUUGUCAGAGAUGCUGCAGGUACCAGGAGAAUGGGAGUGGCAUCAGAGCUAGUAUGCAGAUGAGAAAUGCAUUGCACUAAUUUUUGCAGUUUUCCAGGAAAACCCCUAAAAUCAACAAGCCAACAUAGAACUAGGGGACCUAAGUGAUGUCUAAGGAUGGGAGCGUAGUCCAGUGCCUACUUGGAUCCUUUUUGCUUCUCACCCUAAGCUGAAAAUAUGUCGACUAGAGAGACGACCCGAGA